UAUCAAAGUAAGAAGCAGAUGAAAGAAGAUUAUAAAGCAAUGGCUUUACUGUCAGAUUGACACUUCCGUCUGCAGGUGCUCUCAGAUGUCCUCUGGGAGUUGGUUCCCAAACUCGGUUCAGAUUUCUUCCUUCACAGUCUGGCACCUUCAUAGUGAACUUCAAGGUACCAUUUGGAGCUUGGAGCUCGUUUUUACUCUCAGGCAAAGGGAUCUGCAAAGGAUUGUUAUAAAACAAGAAAAUAAGUGUAGAUACAGUUCUACUGGCAUCAAAGAGCCUGAGUCUGUUCUUCUGCCUUGGAAUGAACCCCAGGAAACACUUCUGCUCUGGCUGCUCUUGUCAUAUGAGUUCUGAAUCAGUUGUGCAGCUUGUAAACUGGCACAUCUUACGCUUUUGGAUAUACUGGACAGCAUGCCGGGAACAUUAGUUGAGGCAUCCAGAAUGCUGGUUUAUGAUUUACCACUGCCACAUGAGGAAUGCUUAUCCCGAAUCCAUUAUCCUGAAUUCACCCCUGACAGCACAAGAGGCAGACAACAAACACAGCUGCAAGACAUUUCUUGAGAAAUGGCUGCAAGAAUGCAGAAAUACGCUGUCUCCUCGUACAGGAAUUACAUCUAAAAUGCCUCUCUUCCUGUUCCCAGUGACUUGCAAGAUG